rnacentral:tRNA from 1 species
GCCAGCAUGGUGUAGUGGUUUGAAUGUUGGACUACAACUCUAGAGACCAGAGUUCGAUUCCCUCUCAGCCA